rnacentral:rRNA from 1 species
AUGCAUCUAUUACUAGAUGACAAGAAAGAGCUAAUAAAUGCGCGGAGGCGGGCAACGUAUCUUAAGAACAAGGAAAAUGCUGACAUUAACAAGGAACAGAUGAAAUCUCCGUUGGUAGAUGGUUAUCGAAGAAAAUAUGAUGACGCCGCCGGCAAGCAUCUCCAUCAAAAUAUGCCUGCCGUUGACAUGUCGGGUAUGCAAAAUGUUCCACGGAGCGCUCUCGGUGAUAUCACUAAUGGGGUACAAGCUCACCCUAUGCUCCUUGCCGACAAAAAUAGCCAGAUCAAGGCUCAAGGGCGAGCUACCGUGAAGCACAAAGAUGAUAACCUUCCUGCCCUUACAAUAUCAGCCGACCCAAAUAGGUCCAGCUAUACGUCAUUGUCACAAGAUGAGGCGGUAUUGCCUCAUACCAAUACAAUCAGUACAGCUGUCAUUCAUGAUAACCAACUACCUAGAAAGCAGCGUGAUAAUGCAGACGAAAUCGAUGGGUUCCGAGACUGCAUCACUGGCGAUGAGACGACACCAUCCGACUUUAUGGAUGAGGAGUACUACAUGUUUCGCGACGAAGGAUACGAUAAUGACACCUUGGAGGAUGAAGAGGAAGCGAUCAUGUCGUCUGCUAUACCUAGCGAGGUUGAUCCAUUAGACUUUGUCUACACAAACAUCCCAGACACGACUCUCAUCCUGAAGCUCGACGCAAACUGCAAACACUGCAAGGCAAAAAAAUUUGUGUCUGAGACUGACGGCUUCUGCUGUCGCAAUGGCCAGAUCGAACUUAAACAACCUGAGCCAAUCCCAGAGCUGAUGAGGCUAUGGUCAAGCAUGGAUGCAGAUUCUAGACACGGCACCAUCUACCACAAUGUGCAUUCGCUCGGGCCUAGCUCCCGUCCUGAGCAUCUGCAGUUAUACUUCUAUGAUGAUGACCCAACCAUCACUCAUCGUAAGGCGGCCACCAAGCAAUUAGACCAAGAUGUCGUGAAGAAGUUAGUAGACAUACUCAAAGAAAACCCGUACUCCUAG